rnacentral:rRNA from 1 species
CGCGUAGGUGUUUAUGUAAGUCAGGUGUGAAAUUCCGGGACUCAAUUCCGGGCCCGCAUCUGAAACUACAUGAAUGGAGUAUAGACGGAGAAAAUGGAAUUCCACGUGUAGCGGUGAAAUGCGUAGAUAUGUGGAGGAACACCAGUGGCGAAGGCGAUUUUCUAGUCUAUUACUGACGCUGAGGCGCGAAAGCAAGGGGAGCAAACA